GAUGAACGCUAGCGGCGGGCCUAAUACAUGCAAGUCGAGCGGACAGAUGAGGAGCUUUUUCCUCUGACGUUAGCGGCGGACGCGUGAGUAACACAUGGGUAACCUACCUAUCAUACUCGGAUAACUUCGGGGAACCGGAGCUGAUUCCUGAUAAUAUAUUGAACCUCAUGGUUCAAUAGUGAAAGACGGUGUUUCUGUCACUUAUAGAUGGAUCCGCGCCGCAUUAGGUAGUUGGUAAGGUAACGGCUUACCAAGGCAACGAUGCGUAGCCGACCUGAGAGGGUAGGCGGCCACACUGGAACGGAGACACGAUCCAGACUCGUACGGGAGGCAGCAGUAGGGAAUCUUACGCAAUGGGCGAAAGCCUAGCCGAGAAAAGCCGCGUGAGUGAUGAGGGUCUGCGGAUCGUAGAACUCUGCUAUUAGGGAAGAACAAUUGUGUAAGCAACUAGGCACGUCUUGACGGUACCUAAUCAGAAAGCCACGGCUAACUCCGUG
rnacentral:rRNA from 1 species